CUGAGCCUGGCCAGAGGAGGAGGACGGGGCUCGGGGACGGGGAGGGGACGGUCGGGAAGGGAAGGCAGUGUGUGUGUCCCAUCCGAGGCCGGAGCCAGUGCGUGCCCCGGCCCUGCGCGCUCCCCAGCGCGGGGCAGCGGCAGCGGCAGCGCCGGGCGCUUAUCGCAGGGCCGCACGCGUCCGCACGUGACGGCCCGCGGCUGUCCCUGCCAGAUAACGCGCACCGAACGAAAGCUGUCCCGCACGGACCCUCUUCUCUCGCUUGAACACCUGGCAAUUACACCUCCCAGUCUGUGCUACGAGCACGUUACCAUCGAGGCCCCAUCAUGCGGAACGCCGGGACGGACCAGAGCCACUCUGUUUCCUCAGCCCCUGCGCGCCACCCUCCCUCAGACCUGCUCCGCAGGCAGAGCUGCCGCUGUCUCCACGCGUGUCCUGCCGUGGCAGCUGCCGCAGCGCCGGGCAGGCCCCAGCACAGCCGCCUCGGGCGCUCGGUGCGAAGCGGCCGCAUUCAGGUGACGGCAGCCCCGGGCCCGGCUCAGCUGUGCCCUCAGGGAAGGGCGCGUCGCGCCCGCCACGGGGGAGGCGCGGGGCAGAGCCGCGGCUGCGCUGGGCGCUGCCUCACACGGCCCCGGUGGUUCACGGGCACCCCGAAGAGCCCGGGGCUGCCGGGGGAGCCCGGAGCCCCCCGGGGAGGAGAAGGCAGAGCCGGGGCCGCCCCGCGGGCCGGGCCCGGAACAGCCUCGGAGGGCCGGGGCGAAGGGCACGGGCAGCGCGCGGUCCGGAGCUGGUGGAGCAGGUAUAUAGACAGCUGAAAUUCCUCUGAUGAAUAUUGUAUGGCUGGUUCUGCUAGUUGCCCACGUAAAGCCUAAUUUUGCCUGACAUCCCUGGCAGUCAUCACACUGAAAUAUUUGUCUGCUUCUCACCUUUGGAAAACCCGUACUCCUUCUCACCAGUAUUUCCAUCACGUGAGCUGUCACGCAAAGUCUCUGUCUCUCCUUCUUACUCUGUUUGGAAUAACCUCACCAGUUCUCAGCCUUACGGGUUCAGAUUUCUCCAGAUGCCAAUGCGUGGAGCGAAAGAAGUGCUGUGUGCUUUGGCAGCAGGCCCAGUGCUGAAGAAGUACCAGCCAGAGUUUUCUCACCUCUUACAAGGAUGACAGCACAAAACUGAGCACCCUGGAGGAGUCCAUGAACUUCUUCAGUUGCAAGCUCAUGGCUUUGCAACAACCAAGUAAAUCUGCAUUCUUGCACGGCUCUGCACCGCUCCUCUUUUGUCUCUCGCACCUACUUCUGAUCGUGACAGCAGUAGAAUUAUGUUACCAGUAAAACAAUUAAGAAUCUACCUACUCUCUUAACAUUUCCAUUCACAUGUCUGUUAUAACAAAAAUGUGGGGUUUAUUUUUUUUUUUUUAAGACCAAACUGUAGGCAGGAAAGUUAAAUCAGUUCAGGUGAACAUUACCAAAAGGGGUUCUUCAGGAGACUAUCCAUACUCUUUCAGGUUACACAUUCAUCAAUCGUUCUUUUAGACACUUAGAAAUUAAAAUACCUCAUGAUUCAACAUCCAUAAAGUAUCAGUCUUAUGUGAAUUUGCUGUCAUGAAGCUACAGAAUGUAUGAGAUCCCAACACAUUUCUGAUACUGAUCUAAAUAAUUCUGAUUGCAUGCAUAGGCAGACAGACUGCAUAAGUAGAUAAACUGCUCAAAAUGUUAACAUGUUUUAUCACUUUUAAACUCAUCAGGAAUUCAGCAUACUACUUCAUACACAAAAGACCCAACUACAAAGCCCCACAAUGAUUUAAUCAGUGCUCCCAAGUUAUUAAGAACAACUAAUCAUGCCAAAUCAGGCAAGUUUGAAGAUGAUGAAUAUUUAUAAGGUUUUGUUAUGUAGUUCAUUUUGAAGAAAUUCUAAAGUCUGGCUACAAUUAAAGCAUUUUCAGAACCUCAGUCUGCAGCUUUUU